rnacentral:rRNA from 1 species
GGACUGAGACACUGCCCAGACUCCUACGGGAGGCUGCAGUCGAGAAUCAUCCGCAAUGGGCGAAAGCCUGACGGUGCGACGCCGCGUGCAGGAAGAAGGCCCUCGGGUUGUAAAUUGCUGUCACACGUUAAGAAAAAAUGCGGGUUAAUACCUCGCGUCUUGACAAAAGCGUGAAAGGAAGUCACGGCUAACUUCGUGCCAGCAGCCGCGGUAAGACGAAGGUGGCAAACGUUGCUCGGAAUUACUGGGCAUAAAGCGCGCGUAGGUGGCGUGGCAAGCGAAGAAUGAAAUCCCGUGGCUCACCCACGGAACUGUUCUUCGAACUACCAUGCUUGAGGUUGGGAGGGGAGAGUGGAAUUCCUGGUGUAGCGGUGAAAUGCGUAGAUAUCAGGAGGAACACCGGUGGCGAAAGCGACUCUCUGGCCCACACCUGACACUGAGGCGCGAAAGCUAGGGGAGCAAACAGGAUUAGAUACCCUGGUAGUCCUAGCUGUAAACGAUGGGCACUGGGUAAAGGGAUGUCGAUAUUCUCUUUGCCGGAGCUAAUGUGUUAAGUGCCCCGCCUGGGGAGUACGGUCGCAAGACUAAAACUCAAAGGAAUUGACGGGGGCUCACACAAGCGGUGGAGCAUGUGGUUUAAUUCGAAACAACGCGAAUAACCUUACCCAGGUUUGACAUCCAUGGAUGCUGCCUGUGAAAGCAGGAUUUGCUGCCCUUCGGGGUGAAAUAUGGACAGGUGUUGCAUGGCUGUCGUCAGCUCGUGUCGUGAGAUGUCGGGUUAAGUCCCUCAACGAGCGAAACCCUUAUCUUUAGUUACCAGCGGUUCGGCCGGGGACUCUAGAGAGACUGCCGUUGUGAAAACGGAGGAAGGUGGGGAUGACGUCAAGUCAUCAUGGCCUUUAUGCCUGGGGCUACACACGUGCUACAAUGGCCGGUACAGAGGGAAGCAAGACCGCGAGGUGGAGCAAACCCCACAAAGCCGGCCCCAGUUCGGAUUGGAGGCUGCAACUCGCCUCCAUGAAGGUGGAAUCGCUAGUAAUCGCGGAUCAGCUACGCCGCGGUGAAUAUGUUCCUGGGCCUUGUACACACCGCCCGUCAAGCCACGAAAGUCGGUAGUACCCGAAGUCACGUACCUAACCCGAUGGUUUAGGUCAUUGGGGGGGAAGUGCCUACGGUAAGACUGAUGAUUGGGACUAAGUC